GUCGCUCGAGCGGGGAAGCGGCGGCCGUUAGGAAAAUGGCGCCGUGCGGCCCGGGGCAGACCCCCGUCACUGGUCACCGCCGCCUUCCUGGUGCAGCUGCUGUGUCACGGCCACACCGGCCGGCUGUACAGCAGGCAGGAGCCGGUGACCAUUCUGGAGGCGGAUGGGGUUAAGGGCCUGUUUGGGAACUGGUCGGCCGCCUGGGUGGUGGAGUUCUACUGGUCGUGGGGCGGCCCCUGUGUCAACUAUGGGGCCACCUGGAAGGUACUGGGCCCGGGAGGUGAAAGGGCCACCAGAAGCCUUCUCAGUACUCUACAAGUGACUUCACCAACAUCCUGUACAACUUCAACAUGAUGUCCCAACUCCUUUAUUCAAUGGUGUGAACAAUUAAGCAAAGGCUAUAACUUCACACUGUGGGACUGUUUGCCAAUUGAGACGCAGACCUGGAUCAACAUUUCCUGAGACUGCUCCUCCCUGGAUUCACUGCCUUUACAUUCAGUUGCUGCGAGUCAACAAUUGAAGCCCACAAUGAAAUAAGAAAUUGAAAAGAGAGUGCCGUACUCCCAGAUGUUAAACAGAGGAAGGAGGUUGCACUCUGGAGUGAAGCUCAAUCUUCAUUCAAAGAGAGAGGUGCAGCAGCAGCUUCAGAAGCUCAUGGGACAACUUCCGCAUUCAGACAAUAGGGGAUGUUCUCAUUGGCAGGAGGACUACUCUCCGUUCGGUCCUCCAAGGCUCCCCAUUGGCUUCUAAAGAAGAUCGCCCCCGUUGCAGCGGACAGCUAGGAGCAUGCGCCGUUCUUGCUGACACCGAGGAGCAUGCGCCGUACACUCGGUGGCAAUGCUGCGAUUACUGACAAAUUUAAGUCUCCAAAUGCCAAUAGGAGAAAAAGAAACGGUAGAACCAAUAUUUCUUUUCCCCGUGACUCGACCUAACCAAACAUGCUCCUCACUAUUUUUGCUAGUCACCUUGCCUGCACCCCUCAUUAUUUUACAAAUCUCAAUAAGGUCACCCCUCAACCUCCUCCACUCCAGAGAAUAAAGUCUCAGCCUCUCCUUAUAACUCAAACCCUUCAGUCCUGGCAACAUCCUGGUAACUCUUUACCGAACCCUCUCUAAUAGUAUUCUUCCCAUAACAGAGCCACCAGAACUGUACUCUGUUGUAAAAGUGGCCUCACCAACAUCCUGUACAAUUUCAAAACGAUGUCCCAACUCCAACAUUCAACGGUGUGUACAAUGAAGGCAAGUGGGCUAAACAACUCUUAACCACUUAGUCUACCAGUGAUGCAACUUUCAAAGAACUAUGUACCUGAACCAUACCUCCAUGUCUCUGUUCUACAACAUAACCCAGGGCCCUGCCAGUAACUGCAAUUCCUCCCCUUCUUUUUUUAAGCAAAAUACAAUUCCUCACUUUUAUCUAUACCUCUCUCCCGUACACAUGCUCUCUCUCAAACACAGACACACACCACUCAACACUCUCACAGGUUUAUACUCCUCAUACAUUACCAUGCAUGCACACAGGCAAACAUAUACUCUUAGGCAAACUCUCACACACAAAGUCACACACACACACACACUCUGAUGCAUGCACAGACACACACAGGUCAAUGGGGUAAAUUUGCAUUUGCAGAUACAUUCAAUUUUGAUCAAAAAAAGCACACAAUCGGCAGGCAGUCAAUCCAUGUAAUAUUUUGUACAUUCCUACUUUGGAAAUUCAAGAUUGGGAUACAGACAGAGUCAAACCUCACAUUCUUCAUUUACUGAGCUGAGAUGUCACUGAUUUUUAUAAAACCUUAAGUCAUCUCAAGAAUGUGACUCAAAAGUACUUCUGAGCUUUACAUAUUAAUUACAAAACCCACAACCCAUUCUAGAAGAUGAAAGACUAAACCACAAUCUUGAUUUGUUCAAUAUAUCCUAUCAGUAGUAUGACACUGAUCGGUUGCGAUAUGUUCCUGCUCCAUAGCUACCCGAUGAAAGAGCAGCACUAGGAAAGCUACUGCUUCCAAAUAAAUCUGUUGGAUGAUAA